UUUUUGGCAGAAGACGAAUGACGGUAUGUCAAGAAUAAGAGACGGCUAACUACGUGCCAGCAGCCGCGGUAAUACGUAGGUCUCAAGCGUUAUCCGGAUUUACUGGGCGUAAAGUGUCCGUAGUCUGAAUUGUAAGUCUGUUUUCAAAUCCUACGACUCAAUCGUAGAAAGGGAAUGGAUACUGCAAUUCUGGAAGUAUCUAGGGGUUAGUGGAAUUUCCGGUGGAGCGGUGAAAUGCGUUGAUAUCGGAAGGAACGCCGAAAGCGAAAGCAGCUAACUAUAGAAUACUUGACGAUGAGGGACGACAGUUUGGGGAGCAAACAGGAUUAGAUACCCUGGUAGUCCAAACCGUAAAUUAUGCUUGCUAGAUGUUUUUAUCAAUUUAUUGGUAGGAGUGUCGUAAUCUAACGAGUUAAGCAAGCCGCCUGGGUAGUAUAUUCGCAAGAAUGAAACUCAAAGGGAUAGGCGGGGGAACACACAAGCAGUGGAUUAUCUAGAUUAAUUGGAUACUAAGCCAAGAAUCUUACCUAGGAUUGACAUGUAUUGUGUCUGCGGUGAAAGUCGCAUAUCCGUAGCAAUACGGAGCUUUACACAGGUGGUGCAUGGUCGUCGUCAGCUCGUGCCGCAAGGUGUCUAGUUAAGUCUGGAAACGAGCGCAACCCUCGUGUUUAGUUAGUAUGUCUAAACAGACUGCUCGGGUAACCGAGAGGAAGGAGAGGAUGACGUCAGAUCCUCAUGCCCCUUACACCUAGGGCCUCAUAGAUAAUACAAUGGGUAGGUACAGCGAGAAGCGAUACCGCGAGGUGGAGCAAAUCUUUAAAACUACCCCUAGUUCGGAUUGUAGUCUGGAACUCGACUACAUGAAGUUGGAAUUGCUAGUAAUGGCAGAUCAGCCAUGCUGCCGUGAAUACGUCCCUGUUCCUUGCACUCACCGCCCGUCAAACCAUGGGAGCUGAGGCUCUUUGAAGACUCAUUAUAUGGGUUAAGGAGGGAAUCAGUGACUGGGGUUAAGUCGUAACAAGGCAUCCCUACCGGAAGGUGGGGAUA
rnacentral:rRNA from 1 species